UAUGAACUCUGCUUUUGUUGGUGGAUCAGAUUAGUGUAAGAGAAAAUAGUGGGAGUGAUCAUCCAUAGACCAUAAUGAGGCCAAAGAUUUAUCUUUUUGGGGACUCCAUCACCGAGAUGUCCUUCGAGGUCGAGGAUGGUGGCUGGGGCGUUUCCCUCGCCGAUCACUUCCGUCGAACGGCCGAUGUGGUGUUGAGAGGGUUCAGCGGUUACAACACCAGGUGGGCUUUGAGGAUAAUAGACAAGGCGUUCCCGGCGGAGCAGGGCGGAGGUGCGCCGCUGGCGGUUACGGUGUUCUUCGGAGCAAACGAUGCCUGUGUUCCCGAUAGAUGUUCUUCCUUCCAGCACGUGCCUGUCGAUGAGUAUAAGCAGAAUCUGUGUUCUAUUGUCUCCUUCUUCAAGAAACAAUGGCCAACAGUGCAUGUCAUCCUCAUUACACCGCCUCCAAUUUAUGAACCAGCACGCCUUCUAUAUCCAUUUACUGAAAACAAAUCGGGCCUUCCAGAAAGGACAUAUGAAGCUGCUGGAACCUAUGCCAAAGCGUGUCUUGCUGUUGCAGCAGAACUUGGAAUUCCAUCUGUGGAUCUAUGGAUAAAAGUUCAGGAAGUUCCAGACUGGCAAACUGCUUGUCUGAGUGAUGGUUUGCACCUCAGUCGUGCUGGGAAUGCUAUCGUGUUUAAAGAGGUGGUUGAUGUGCUGAAGAAACUAGGCUCCAGUGUGGAAACUCUAAUGGUUGAUUUCCCACUCAUAGAUGACAUUGAUCCAAAUGAUCCCCUCAAAUCCUUUGAAAACUUGAAGAACUAAAUCGGCAUAUGCUGUUCUUGAUUCUGAUCCUUAAAUCGGAUCGAUGAUGUUUUCUUUAGUGAUGGCAUUCUGGGCAAGCUAGCUGAAGAUUGCUAAUGAUGUUCGGGAUCAGGUCCCUCAGGUGCCAAUCUGUCUUUACCCCCUCCCACCUUGUUAUUGUUUCUGAUUGUUUUCGGCAAAUUGGAGCCUAAAUCUCGUAAAACUUGCCUGCUAUUCACCCUUUUCUGCAUAUUCACUAAUCCACGAUAUCUUGUUGCA